rnacentral:rRNA from 1 species
CGCGCAGGCGGCCUUUCAAGUCAGGGGUGAAAGCCCGGAGCUCAACUCCGGAAUUGCCUUUGAAACUGCAAGGCUCGAGUACGGGAGAGGUGAGUGGAAUUCCCAGUGUAGAGGUGAAAUUCGUAGAUAUUGGGAAGAACACCAGUGGCGAAGGCGGCUCACUGGCCCGUAACUGACGCUCAGGCGCGACAGCGUGGGGAUCAAACAGGAUUAGAUACCCUGGUAGUCCACGCCGUAAACGAUGAACGCUAGCCGUUGGCAAGCUUGCUUGUCAGUGGCGCAGCUAACGCAUUAAGCGUUCCGCCUGGGGAGUACGGCCGCAAGGUUGAA